CAGUCGCCGCGGGAACACGAAGGGUGCAAGCGUUGCUCGGAAUUACUGGGCGUAAAGCGUGCGUAGGUGGUCGUUUAAGUCUGUUGUGAAAGCCCUGGGCUCAACCUGGGAACUGCAGUGGAAACUGGACGACUAGAGUGUGGUAGAGGGUAGCGGAAUUCCUGGUGUAGCAGUGAAAUGCGUAAAGAUCAGGAAGAACAUCCAUGGCGAAGGCAGCUACCUGGACCAACACUGACACUGAGGCACGAAAGCGUGGGGAGCAAACAGGAUUAGAUACCCCAGUAGUCCCUGUCUCUUAUAC
rnacentral:rRNA from 1 species